rnacentral:tRNA from 2 species
NGGUGAUUAGCUCAGCUGGGAGAGCACCUCCCUUACAAGGAGGGGGUCGGCGGUUCGAUCCCGUCAUCACCCACCA